rnacentral:lncRNA from 1 species
UUUCUCUUUAGGAAUUCUUUAUGGCACAAUGACACUGGAACUAGGUGGAACUGUCAACAUUACCUGUCAGAAGACUGGGUACAGUGCGAUACUUGAAUUUAAACUAAAGCCAUUUCUAGGGAGCAGUGAUUAUGUUAAUCAAAUAUCAGGGAAACUUAAAUUGGGAAAAGAAGUCCUCGCUACUCUGGAAGGCCAUUGGGAUAGUGAAGUUUUCAUUAAUGACAAAAAGACUGAUAACUCAGAGAUUUUCUGGAAUCCAACUCCUGACAUUAAACAGUGGAGAUUAAUAAGGCACACUGUAAAAUUUGAAGAACAGGAUGAUUUUGAAUCAGAGAAACUCUGGCAACGAGUGACAAAAGCUAUAAAUGCCAAAGACCAAACAGAAGCCACUCAAGAAAAGUAUGUUUUGGAAGAAGCUCAAAGACAAGCUGCCAGAGAUCGAAAAACAAAAAAUGAAGAGUGGGCUUGUAAGUUAUUUGAACUUGACCCACUCACAGGAGAAUGGCACUAUAAGUUUUCAGAUACCCGACCAUGGGACCCACUUAAUGAUAUGAUACAAUUUGAAAAAGAUGGAGUUAUCCAGACCAAAGUGAAACAUCGCACUCCAAUGGUUAGUGUUCCAAAAAUGAAACAUAAACCAACAAGGCAACAAAAGAAAGUGGCAAAAGGCUAUUCUUCCCCAGAGCCUGACGUCCAGGAUUCUUCUGGAAGUGAAGCUCAAUCUGUAAAACCAAGUACACGAAGAAAGAAGGGGAUAGACCUGGGAGACAUUCAAAGUUCCAUUGAGUCUAUAAAACAAACACAGGAAGAGAUUAAAAGAAAUAUUAUGGCCCUUCGAAAUCAUUUACUUUCAAGUACGCCUGCUACGGAUUAUUUUCUGCAACAGAAAGAUUACUUCGUCAUUUUCCUGCUGAUUUUGCUUCAAGUCAUAAUAAACUUUAUA